rnacentral:lncRNA from 1 species
AUUCACAAAUAAUAUUCACCAAUAAUGGAAUACAGUGCUUGGAAGCAACAUGAAUAACAGACCUAAUAAGAGCAUACUGUGAAUUUUACUGCCACAGCAUCAGAUUCAAUUAUUAAUAGUUUUCUGUAUGAUUUCCACAGGUGGCAACAUGGAUUAUGGAAGAGCAGAAUGUUUCUGGAACUAUUAUCUUUUUUCAUCUCUGUAUCAUUUAAAUGAAAAUACAGCUAAUGAAGGCUUGAAUUUUUGGAAAUUGGAAACCAGAAAGUAAAAUUAAUCACAAUGUUCCUUUCCUUCAUCAUACCAGAUCAAAUAGAUUAUAAUGGAAUAAAUUUUUAAACCUUUUUUAUAUUUGAAGAAUUAAAGCUUAAUUUUCAGUUUUGGAAGUAUAUAUCUGAUCUAAUAUUCAGGUAAGCACGGUGGUACAGUAGAAAGAGCCAUGAGGUAGGAAUCAGAAGACUUGGGUUUAAGCCCCAAAUUAGCACAUGAACUUGGAAAGCCAUUUAAUAUCUGGUAACAUCAGUCCUCUUCUAUCAUUAUUAUCCCUAGCUACCUUGCAGGAAAUAAGUGAGAUAUAGUAAGUUUUUUUUUAACAAUUUUUUAAACAUUUUAUUUACUUAUUCAUGAGAGAGAGAGAGAGAGAGAGAGGCAGAGACACAGGCAGAGGGAGAAGCAGGCUCCAUGCCGGGAGCCCGACGUGGGACUCAAUCCCGGGUCUCCAGGAUCGCGCCCUGGGCCAAAGGCAGGCGCCAAACCGCUGAGCCACCCAGGGAUCCCCGAUAUAGUUAAGUUUUUUAAAAAAUGCAUUGCAGGGACGCCCGGGUGGCUCAGUGGUUGAGCAUCUGCCUUUGGCUCAGGUCCUGACCCCAGGGUCCUGGGAUCGAGGCCCACAUCGGGCUCCCCACAGGGAUCCUGCUUCUUCCUUUGUCUUUGUCUCUGCCUCUCUCUGUGUGUCUCUCAUGAACAAAUAAAUAAAAUCUUUAAAAAAUGCAUUGCAGACUGUAAAUUACUGUUCAAAUGAAAGAGAUGACUCAAGAAGGAUUCUGAAAUAUCCCAUAGAAUUGUAAUACCUAGAACUAAAAUGUCCCCAAAAGUAAUUCUUUCAAUUUCUUUGUAAUUAUAUAAAUGUGUGUGUGUGUGUGUGUGCGCGCGUGCGCAUGUAUGUAUCCCAGGCUGCUCAUCACUUGCUAACAAAUUUCAAAAGAUGUACAGAUCUUCACAGUAACUGUAGAUACUGAAUUUUAUAUACAUUAUAUAAGCCUAUUUUUUUCAAAAUUAAGUAAUAUUUACUUGAUUAUAGGCAUCUAGAAAUAAAAAAUGAGCAAA